CAGACAUCACCUGGAGAGAAAGGCUGGAACUGACACACCUGAGCCAUUAAGAAUUCUGUCCUUACAGAAAAGGUACUUUGGAGCAGACCUGCAGGAACAGUGAAUGGAUCACACCACCUGAUACUGUCUUAAUGCCAUCAAUACAACAUGAAGCCACACAUCUGGAUGAUUUGGAUUUUGCUGGUGGGCUCCCUGUGGUUUGUUUCCCUUUCAAGCAGUCCUAGUCCUGUCAAAACACCAGAUAAUUUCGAAAACUGCUUCAAAAAAACGGAAACAACCAUUGUUGUUGUUGAUAACUUCUACGGAUGCAUCACAGCAUCAAAGUGGAACUACAAUGGAGACUCCUGCAUAAUAUUUGUUAAGAGAAAUAUAACGAAAUCAAUGUUGAAACUGGAAACAUGGCCUCAAAUAGAAAAAGAUAAAGAUGAUUUUAGGGUGUACCUGUCCAAAUGGCAUACCAAUCGGGAUAUAAACAUGUACAUUCUCAAUGGGAAAAACUGCAGCGCCUACCAAUCUGUAGACAGAGAUACAAAGUGCAGAAAUUUCACAAAUGACCCGUGCGAGAUAAGAUGUGUGCCUCUGAACAGCGUGUGCAGCAAAAGCACCUACGAUGCAGCGAGCUGUGGUAACAAGAACAACAUAAUGGACAGGUAUCUAAUCAACAUAACAACACCAACCAUCCAAUGCAUCAACUGUGACAAUCCAGUGAAAAAACCUGAUGGUGAAAUGGUUCUGAACAUAACAAUUAAAACUGACAACGGAGGAAGCGUUGAUGCUUCACAAGCUGCUGAGCUAGUGAGAGAUAUGAGCAACCUCGUCAAGAACAUGAAUGGAUCCUCAGCUGAACUGAAGGUUGGAGCAGGAAUCACCGGAGUCUUGGUGAAGCAGAGAGAGCCUGAGGACGUGUCUGAAGUGUCCUUUGCUUAUACGAAACCCAACCAGAGUAUAAAUAUUAUAGAAGACAGAAACAGUCUGGAUGGAUUCUCUAGAAGUGUCACAGUCUCAAAGGAAGCUUUUAAAAAAUCGCAAGCUACAAACACCACCCAACCAUUUGCAGCUGUUUUCCGAUUCACUAACCUGGCUAAGGCAAGGGAAAACAAACAUAAUUUUUUAAUCUGAUAUGAUGAAUUUAUAUAUACAGACUGGUGUUUGUGUUGAUAUUUUUGUCUUAUAUUCCAGGAUGAGAACAACAGCACUGUGUUAGGUA
ensembl:lncRNA